CGCUCAUCCAGAGGGGCAGAGGGAUACGGCCCGAUGAAGCCCCGGCAACCCUCCAGCCGGUCUCGUAACGAUCACUGAUCCACGUGGUGAUCGCUUCGCGAGGCUCCCGGCUCGGGAAGGUGCCAAAUCCGUCUCACGGCGAGAUGCGUCGUGAGGAAGAUGAGGA
rnacentral:ncRNA from 2 species